UUGUUUUGGCAGCACAUAUACUAAAAAAAUUGGACUGAUACAGAGAAGAUUAGCAUGGCCCUUGCCCAAGGAUGACAUGCAAAUUUGUGAAGCAUUCCACAAAAAA